rnacentral:tRNA from 1 species
GCCCAGGUGGCUCAGCGGUAGAGAACCUGCCUGCCAAUGCAGGAGACCUGGGUUCAAUCCUGGUCCGGGAA